rnacentral:lncRNA from 1 species
CUGUGUCAUGCAGAUGCUGCAACCCUGGAUCAGCAGGACUGGCUCCUACAUGCAUCCCAACUGUUUAUAGAUGAUAUGGAUUUUGAGGCUGAGCUCUUCAGCAGUGCUUUGGCUAGGCCACCCAAAGCCACCAUCUGCAGCAGACAAGGUCAAUUCUUCUGCUCUCAUGCCUUGGCCAUCAUGACCAGCUAGCUCCACUGUGUUGCUGGCCACACAGCUAGCUCACCUGCUUCCCCUUGAACAGGGCCAGCACUGCUGGUGAAGCUGGUUCUCCUGAGAUCCAGACCAGAGGUGAUGGUGUUUGGUCAGGUGCAGAGCGGACCGCAGUCCUUUGUUCGUCCUACCUUGAUGCCUGUCGUAGCCCAAGGACUCAAGAAGAUCAAGUAAAAUGAAACCCAGGCAGCACAGAGCGGGAGGAAGUCAGAGACAGGCACACUGUAGUGCCAUCCACACACCUGCCACCCAGCUCACUGCACAAGCAGGCCAUAGAUACCCACCUGCUGCCACACCACACAACAUGCAGCACACAGGAUGGAAAAUGUCGCCCAGGGUCUGCCAGCUACAUGCUCAGCCUGCAGCAGGAGUCAUCGCAGUGGUGGUCAGAUGGCAGAGAAAGAAAGGCGGAACGGCUUGCGCAUCAUGAAGAGUGGUGGAACUGGAGACUCAAGGAUGGAGAGGAGAAGCCUAUCUUGAGUGGGCAGCCCUGCCACCUCAGGCCACGGUGAAGUUCAAGCCCAAGCUGCCACUGAGGGCCAUGGUCGGUCAGUGACUAUAGCAGCAGCAGGGGUCAGUGUCGAUGACCGUGCUCAUAUUAACACUAGAGAAUGUGGGCAGUCACCAGGGACAUGGAUAGAGCAACGCAUAGCUGGCCCCUCUCCUCACUGGAUCCAGUGCGCUUGAGAGCCAGCCGCAGCACUCACCACUGGGCAGCACUUGGAGGAAAAUA